rnacentral:rRNA from 1 species
AUGGACGACAAGCCGAUUGUCAUCGACAUGGAAGCGGCGCUGCGUGCGGUGGCGGGCAAACUUGGGGUCGCCCGGGUUCUCUCGCCAUACCCGGUCGACCCCAAGGCGGUCGUCAACGAGCUUCGGGGGCCAUGGCGACUCCGAGGAGAGGCCGUGGCACAACGCGUCACGAGCGACGACCGCCGUUUCGUCAUCACCUUCGCGGAGGGUGGGGAUCGACAUCAUGUUCUGCACGAUGGGCCAUGGCAUUUCAGAAAUGAUGCUAUAAUCCUAGCGGCUUUCGACAGAGAUGGCAAUCCGGCCGAUGUGCGCCUCGACUCCAUCAAGCUAUGGGCACAAAUCUGGGGCCUUCCAGUACCGAUCAAGACGGUGGAGAUGGGAUACAUCCUGGGCGACAAGCUUGGAAAGGUCCUCGCGGUGGCCCACCAAAACAAAAUGAUCAUCGACGAGCAUCUUCGAGUCCGGGUCGAGCAUCUCGUCGACGAGCCCCUGAGGAAGACCAUCGACACGACCCCGGUUGGCAGUAAAGUAGAGAUCCUAUAUGAUGUUAAGUAUGAAAAAUUGCCAAAUUUUUGCUUUUGUUGUGGCUUGUUGGGGCAUACUACUGCCAGAUUCUGUACCAUCCCUAAGGAACUUCGGAAGCCUAAGUUCUCCAACGACAUCAAGGUGCCGGCCUUCUGGAGCACCAUGCAAGCUUCGAGCGGCCCUGGUCGAUGGCACCUCAGCUUGGGAGGUCAUUGGGACGACCGGGAUCUUCAGGACAACGACAACCUGGAGCUGGUCAAGCUGCUGGAAAAGGAAGUCACUGCCGUGGCUACGGCGGUAUAG